rnacentral:pre_miRNA from 1 species
UGUUUUAAAUUUUAUCUAUUUAUACAGUUAAAAUUGACGGGUAAGAUAGAAUAACUAAAAUAAGAUGUGACAUAUCACAUGUAUCUGAUGUUAAUAUACAAGAACUAAUUUUUAACCAUAAAAAUAAAUAAAAAUUUUAACA